CUGAAAAUGGGAGCAUAGAGGUGAUGUCCUAUCCCCAAUUAGUGAGCUUUUGUGAACAGAUGGACUCAGAAGGGCUCCACAAAUUUAUAUCAGAUAACCGAAAGAACCUUGCUGCAAUUAGGGAGGAGAUUCCACUUGCAUUUAGAGCUGCGGCCAACCCUGCCCUCUUUGUUUUGGAAUCAUUGGAAGACUUUUACCGCUUGGAGGGUCCUGCUAUGGAUGUGAAGAAAGAUUCCAACCUGUUGGGUAUCCGUCGAACCUGCAUAAUGUUGAUGGAGUGUCUGAGCAUAUUGCUGGCAAACCCAGAGAUGGUCUCUGCUUCUGAUAUUAUUACAGAGGAGGUUAAGGAUAUGGCAGAGACGAUUGCUGAAGAAUGGAAACCAAAGUUAGAUGCUCUUGACAUGGAUGCUAGCAAUGGGAACUCCUUAGAGGCCCAUGCCUUUUUGCAGCUUCUUGCUACUUUCGGUAUUGCUUCUGGUUUUGAUGAGGAAGAAUUGUUCAGGCUAAUACCGAUGGUUUCACGUCGUCGCCAAACAGCUGACCUUUGUCGUUCGCUUGGACUGACCGAGAGAAUGCCAGGUUUGUUUUUUAUUUUCUGAAGAAUGAAGACUUUCCUUUUUAGAUGAAAACUAUACUGAUGUUAAUUGAACCAUGCUGUUUGUUUCAAACUAAUUUGGAUAUUCUGUAUUAAUCAUGUGCUUUAUCACGCAUGCUUUAUUAAUAAAUUUGGAGUUACGUAUUUGUUGCUCCUUGUCUGUUUAAAGCUUAAACCUAUCGUAAGCACUGAAAUAAGGGUCCGAUUGAAAAUAUAAAGUAUACACUGACCAAUCUGAUAAAUCGCCCAGCUUGGAAUAUCUUGUUAUCUAAGAAAUUCUUUUGUAUAACGGGUUCUUGCAUUUCUUUCAAUUUAUUGCAUACAAGUUUGGCAAAAUCAAACACUAAUCUCCUGGUAUUAACUGGGUAGGUGGUGUGAUAUUCAUAUGAAUGUAUGCUUGGAUACAUGGAGAAAUAAAAGCUGGAUUUUUUUCUUCUUGCAUGAUUAUACUUCCUCUAGUUGCUUGUGUUCAUAGUUUUUUGUUUAAUUGGUAUAUUACAGGUGUUAUUGAAGUAUUAGUGAACAGUGGAAGACAAAUUGAUGCAGUCAACUUGGCUUUUGCAUUUGAACUGACAGAGCAGUUCUCUCCAGUGCCUUUACUAAAGUCCUACUUGAAGGAGGCAAGAAAAGCUUCUUCACCGGUCAAACCUGGGAAUGUGUCUCCUACUGCACAGGUGUGUUUCUUACUCUUAUAUACUCUUAAGUAAUUUCUAUGUUGCAUUUAGUAGUUGUGACUAAGAGGAAAGGUAUGGGAAAACGAAGCCCCAUUACGAUGAUAUAGAACUGAUUAUUGUUUCAUCAUUAUUGUUACAUCAGUGUCAUAUGAAGUUGAAUUACCUGCCACUAUCUAAUUAUAAUCUGGUAUAGCACUGAUGCUUGAUAAGUAUGCGGUUUGUAAAUGCAAAUGUAUACAUAAUGAUACAUCAUUGUUUCAGAAUGAGGUGAAUGAUAGAGAGCUGACUGCUCUCAAGGCGGUGAUCAAGUCUAUUGAGGAGCAUAAGCUUGAAGAGCAGUAUCCAGUGGAUCCACUACAAAGACGGAUUCUUCAGCUGGAAAAGGCCAAGGCAGACAAGAAGAGGGUGACUGAAGCUGCAAAGCCUCAACCCAAGAGACCUCGUGCUAAUGGUGUUGGAUAUGGCCCCCGGGUCACUAAUGUUGUUGCAGAGAAGACUUUCUAUCCUAGAGUCGCUGAUAAUAGGUACCCACAGUACGUUUAUGACCGACAGUUUGUUUACCCUGGACCUGCUGACAACCACUGCCCACCUCUUCUGGGUUCUGCUACUUACAACAUGCCCCCUGCUCAUG
rnacentral:lncRNA from 1 species